UCUAUCGAGUCUCUCUUCCUUCUUCUCGCACUCGCCGUCCUCUUUGAAUCACCAUCACCACCACCACCACUACCGUCCUUGUUCAUCUCUCAGCCAUCUCCACCUCGUCACUACCUUCCUCUCCUCCUCUCAAGAGGUGAAGCGGCUCCAUCGGAAGAUUGAGAGUUGCGACAGAGGACGCUUCUUCUCUCUCCACCGGCGACGUCGCCGAUGAUUACUACGCCGUUCUUGGAUUGCUCCCAGAUGCGACGCCAGAGGAGAUUAAGAAAGCGUAUUAUAACUGUAUGAAGUCUUGCCAUCCUGACUUGGGUGGGAAUGACCCUGAAACCACAAACUUCUGCAUGUUCAUUAACGAUGUCUACGAGUGACUGCUACCAAUCCUUUUCUUGAUGACUCUAGCCCGAAAGAUCAUGUUUUUGUUGAUGAGUUUGCUUGUAUAGGAUGCAAGAAUUGUGCCAAUGUGGCUCCGGAUAUAUUUAAGAUUGAGGAGGAUUUUGGUAGAGCAAGGGCGUGUAACCAGCGUGGCAAUCCUGAUUUGCUUCAGCAAGCAGUUGAAACAUGGUUAGCCUCUUGUGUU